rnacentral:misc_RNA from 1 species
GUUAUCGAUAGAAAUUAAAAACCACGCGUUGCGCUUCACGUUUCAUAAGUCGGGCAUAUCGGCUUCCUACCUCCUUUUUACAUUGGAUUAGUAUUUAAUUUUAUUAUAUCACAUGCACUCAUUUUUUAUAUCUUCUGCGAUUUACACCUGCGGAUACCAUCGAAUCAUUCGCUGAUCAGUGUCUCAGGAGACACGGCUGCUCCUGGACCAAUAUUACCGGCUACAUUUAUUUUCAUCAACAUCAACACAAACGUCAUUUCAAGGUGCCUCUGACAAGCGUACAAGAAAUUUGUAAAACCAUGGUCAGUGCCUAACCGUCGAGCACUCGGUGCAGAUGACCACGCGUCGCGUUCCAAACAUUUCGUUAAUUAAUUACACCUGAUUACGAUUUUAUUAUUUUAUUAUCAUGUGCUCAACGGUUCGGAUUUUUAUUAAGCCAACAUCCGCGCUCUGAAUAACAUUAAUAAAAUAAUCAACAGAGUCAUCGUUUUGUGUUUUUAUUUAUUUUUAAUGGCUAACGAAUUAUUAGUGUCCGGAAUAAUGUGUGAUCGUGUUGUGAUCCUCGUCGUUUUGACGUUAUUCGGAAAUUCCGCUUCGAUUUUUUGUGCGUCGUACGGACCGUUUUCCGAAAUCAGAUCGUCUUCGACCUCCGAAGAUCUUCAAGACGACUACACGGACAACGCCAUCGAUUUAGUUCGGACGUCGAUUUCACCAUUGGAAGACUUUUUGCUCACUAUAUCGAAUCCUUUUAGAAUUUUUAAUCGACCGGAAGACCAAUUGGAUCGCAACACGGAAAGACUGAUACUGGGUCUCCCUUCGGGAUUGAGAGAUAUUUUUUUAAGCGGACGUAAAUUUGCCGAAAAAGGAUUUGGCGACGUUAUGGAACAUCAUCGCAAACGCUUACAGGCCAUAUUUCCCGGAACAUUGUGGUGCGGAACCGGUGAUAUUGCCAGGAAUUCAGAAGACAUUGGACUAUUCAGUUUGAGCGAUAGUUGUUGCAGAACUCACGAUUCUUGUCCACAUUAUAUCAACGCAGGGGAUGACAGCAGGGGUUUGAGGAACAACGGAAUAUUUGCCAGAUCCCAUUGUGCCUGCGACGAGGAAUUCCACAGGUGCUUGAGGAAGACUCAUACUCUAGUUUCGAAGAAAAUCGGUAUGACUUAUUUUGACGUCCUGCAGCCACAAUGCUUCAAAUUAGAGUAUCCCAUCAAACGGUGCCUUAGAUACACAAGAUUUCCUGGACCGAAGAGAUGCGUACUCUACGAAUUUGAUAAGACGAGCAAUAAGACGUGGCAGUGGUUCGACAACCGAAAUUUUUUGAUUCCAUUUGAGUUUUGAAUUUGGAUUUUACAAGACAUUAGAACAAAUUGUAUUUAUUUGUAAGUUUAGAUUCAAAUACUGAUAAUGCGUGCCAAAUAUUUUAGGGAUUUAAAUAUUGAUUCAUUGAAGUUCACCAACAUGUUUACGAGUAAUUAUUAUCAAAGCACAGCUAGCGAAAAAGACAUUCUUGUACGGAGAAGAAUAUUUGAUCGCAUCAGAAUUAAUUCGUAAAUGGAUCUCAACAGCUUUUUAUUAUAAUGAUCGAUAUAUAAUAAUUCGGGAACCAGAUUGGAAAUUCGUUGAAAGCAGAUGAUGAGAUUAACCCCGAGUCCACUCGGGUCCGACGAUGGAAGAAACAGAUAGUUAUCGGAAGUAAAUUUGCAGCCCAAAUCGACUCCGCCCUGCAUCAACACAAAACUCACGAUGUAUCUGGAUAAUUGUUCGUUAUAUUUGUGAACCGAAUAAGAAUACAUAUAUUAUUUAUCAUGUAACCAUAGUUCGAAUAGUCCCUGAGAUAAUUGAAGUAUGAAUGUGAUUAGGCACUUGUGUGAAUUUUAUUGUACCGCAUCGAUUGCA